GAUGAACGCUAGCUACAGGCUUAACACAUGCAAGUCGAGGGACCGGCACACGUGGGCGUAACACGUAUCCAACCUUCCCUUUACUCGUGGAUAGCCUUUCGAAAGUAAGAUUAAUACCCGCUGUAAUGGAUUGGGAUGCGUGCCAUUAGGUUGUUGGUGAGGUAAUGGCUCACCAAGCCGUCGAUGGAUAGGGGUUCUGAGAGGAAGGUCCCCCACAUUGGAGCUGAGACACGAUCCAAACUCGUAAGGGAGGCAGCAGUGAGGAAUAUUGGUCAAUGGGAGUUAGCCUGAACCAGCCAAGUAGCGUGAAGAAUGAAGGCUUAUGGGUAGUAAACUUCUUGUAUAUAAGAAUAUGUAUUAUAUGAAUAAGGAUCGGCUAAAUCCGUGCCAGCAGCCGCGGUAAUUC
rnacentral:rRNA from 1 species